CACACACAUACACACACACAUACACACACACACACACACAUACAAACCCAGAUGAUUACAUAACCUCCUGGCGGAGGUAAAAACCCAGAUGAUUACAUAACCUCCUGGCGGAGGUAAACACAUACAAACCCAGAUGAUUACAUAACCUCCUGGCGGAGGUAACCAGAUGAUUACAUAACCUCCUGGCGGAGGUAACAAACCCAGAUGAUUACAUAACCUCCUGGCGGAGGUAACAAUGGAUGUAUAAUGGUUUAAAAUAUAUUAUCACUUUCUUUACUGUAAAUAUACAUAUAUAGUAUCCUCC